GCCGUGAAUGGAAGAAAGAAAACAAAGAAAAAAAUGUUUUGUUCAUCCUUGAACAUCCUUGGCCAAAUAGAGGAAAGAAAGGAAGGGGAGGAGCUUGAGAAAAUCGGCUAUGGUGAUUUGCUAGACAAAGGUCUCAUUGCGAAGCUACAGGCUCGGGGAUCGUCAGCAACUAGUCACACUAUCGCUAUCCACUGUUUGGUACUGCUACGUUUUGGAAUAUCUUAUGGCAUGUAUAGAAUAGACUAGUAGUGAGAGGAUAUCAUGGUUAAUGUAUAGGACUACCCUUUGCUGUUUUUCAAGUACGUUUUGUGAUGUAUGUAUGUACAGCCAUGCGAAAAUGGCUCGUAAAAGUGGAGUAUGGCAUUAGACCAUUUGUGUUUAUGUAUAUAUGUAUGGUUUCAUGA